rnacentral:rRNA from 1 species
CCUACGGGAGGCAGCAGUGAGGAAUAUUGGUCAAUGGACGAGAGUCUGAACCAGCCAAGUAGCGUGAAGGAUGACUGCCCUAUGGGUUGUAAACUUCUUUUAUAUGGGAAUAAAAUGUUCCACGUGUGGGAUUUUGUAUGUACCAUAUGAAUAAGGAUCGGCUAACUCAGUGCCAGCAGCCGCGGUAAUACGGAGGAUCCGAGCGUUAUCCGGACUCAUUGGGCGUAAAGAGUUCGUAGGCGGCACGUAAAGUCUGGUGUUAAAGGCAGAGGAUCAACUUCUGUACGGCACUGGAUACUUGCGAGCGAGAAUGCGGUAGAGGUAAAGGGAAUUCCUGGUGGAGCGGUGAAAUGCUUAGAUAUCAGGAGGAACAUCGGUGGCGUAAGCGCUUUACUGGGCCGUAAUUGACGCUGAGGAACGAAAGCCAGGGUAGCAAAUGGGAUUAGAUACCCGAGUAGUC